rnacentral:rRNA from 1 species
GACGAACGCUGGCGGCGUGCUUAACACAUGCAAAUCGAGCGAUGAAGCACCUUCGGGUGUGGAUUAGCGGCGAACGGGUGAGGAACACGUGAGGAAUCUGCCUUCCACUCUGGGAUAACUCCGGGAAACCGGGGCUAAUACCGGAUACUUUCAACUGGCGGCAUCGCCGGUUGAAGAAAGUUUUUCGGUGGAAGAUGACCUCGCGGCCUAUCAGCUUGUUGGUGAGGUAAUGGCUUACCAAGGCGACGACGGGUAGCCGGCCUGAGAGGGCGACCGGCCACACUGGGACUGAGACACGGCCCAGACUCCUACGGGAGGCAGCAGUGGGGAAUAUUGGGCAAUGGAGGAAACUCUGACCCAGCGACGCCGCGUGAGGGAUGAAGGCCUUCGGGUUGUAAACCUCUUUCAGCAGGGAAUAAGCGAAAGUGAAGGUACCUGCAGAAGAAGCACCGGCUAACUAUGUGCCAGCCGCCGCUGUAAGAC